ensembl:miRNA xtr-mir-1b xtr-mir-1b
GCACAUACUUCUUUAUAUGCCCAUACUGAAUGAAAAUGCUAUGGAAUGUUAAGAAGUAUGUA